UGGUGUGCUAUUUGGUAGACGAGUUUGGGU
rnacentral:piRNA from 1 species